rnacentral:tRNA from 1 species
AUUUAAAUAGUUUAAUUAAAAAUUUUGAUUUGUGGAUUCAAAGAUAUAAUAAUAUUAUUUUAAAUA